AUUCGCUCAAUUAAGGGGUGGAGCUUACCCCAAAGACAGGAGUCAUCAGAGGAAAGGUUAUAAAGAAGCUAACACGACUGGAGGAGCUAUCUUUUUGAUCAAUCUUUUGAUCCUUCUUUUGAUCAAUCAAUCCGUGUAUCAGAGUACAAAUGUUAAGUGAGUAGCCAGCCAGAGGCCAAGAGGGCCAGAGCCAUGGUCGUGCCAGACCAAGUGAGGGGACACCAUCAGCUUCCUACAUCAAGCAACAACUGAGGGCAGUGGAUCGAAGAAGAAUGGCAUCCAGCAAGAGUUAAAACGCUCACAGGCAAUGUUUAACUACGAAGCAACAUCUGCGCAAGCGCCACCAGCGUCAAAAUCACAGUACGUGUAUGUGUAUUACUAUGGCCUCACCCUUAUAAUCCUAUGUGCUGGCGUUUAAAAUUUAAUGUUACAAUUAGUCUGAUCUGUACAUGUAUAAUUAACAAUACAGUUCUUUUAAUAAACGAGGUUUUGAAUUUUCGUAGGGAAUUACGCUAAUGAAAUGAGCAUGUCUUACAUAAAGAGAUGAGUCUUCGUAAACAUAUUUCAACUGCAUUGAUUAAAUGAGCAUGUAAACACAUUAAAUGAAUAAUUACAAUAUU